UACGUAGGGUGCAAGCGUUGUCCGGAAUUAUUGGGCGUAAAGAGCUCGUAGGCGGUUUGUCGCGUCUGCUGUGAAAUCCCAGGGCUUAACCCUGGGCCUGCAGUGGGUACGGGCAAACUAGAGUGCGGUAGGGGAGAUCGGAAUUCCUGGUGUAGCGGUGAAAUGCGCAGAUAUCAGGAGGAACACCGGUGGCGAAGGCGGGUCUCUGGGCCGAUACUGACGCUGAGGAGCGAAAGCGUGGGGAGCGAACAGG
rnacentral:rRNA from 1 species